AGUGAGGUGGCUGAGAUUACAGGCGUUAAAUUGUAAAUUUAUUAACAGGAUAUCCUUCUUACUG
rnacentral:tRNA from 1 species